rnacentral:misc_RNA from 1 species
UUUCCGUUGGUGAACCUGCGGAAGGAUCAUUCAUAAUAAAGUGUUUUAUGGCACUUUUUAAAAAUCCAUAUCCACCUUGUGUGCAAUGUUAAGUCUCUCGUUCAAGACAGUUUCGACUGUUCUUGGGCAGGGUCUUUAUAUAUCAACUCUUUCUUAAACCAAUUUGUCUGAAAAAUAUUAUGAAUACUUGAUUCAAAAUACAACUUUCAACAACGGAUCUCUUGGCUCUC